CACAGAUGACUCUGCGACCAAUAAACUCUGUAAGUACUAUCAGAAACGGAGCUUGGUGAAGAUAUUCAGAACAUGCUGAACUGUGUUUUCUCUACAUGUGCUUUUAUCGGUUUGCAUGCUGCAUGUUUGAUGUUUUGCCUGAGCUGGGGACGAAAUGGUACUGAAUGCCUGAAAGUAACGUUAACAGUGUUCAGUUUAAGUGUACAUUUCGAGAUCAGUGCCAGUGUUUAUAAACGCUCAAAAUCUGUACAGUAUUUCUUAGAUUAACGAGUGCUUAGUGUAUAAUUUAGGAAAGUUUUAAUAAUACUACAGCAGAUGCUAAUUAAAUCAGGAAGUGAAGCACUACCAAACGUACCGUAUACAAUGUUCAGUUCAAGUUUAAUUUUCAGUUUAGUGCCAGAGUUUAUCAUCAACCCAAAAAAUAUAUAUCUGAUUUUCACAUUGACGAGUACUACUGCUUACUUCUCCCAUUCCUUGGUUGAAGACUGUUUUGAACCGAGCCUUGCAGCAAGGAGGGAAUGGCUGCGUCUGUUUUGUGCUUGGACGCCUUCUCCUAGUUGUGCUAAAAUUGAGGUGCCUGUUUAAUUAACAAGCACCUUUCAUCCCCACUGUGACAGUAAUGCAUUGAGGUGCCUCUGGACUGUAGUGUAUUAGGUUGCCAGGAGUAGUAAAACUUAGUGUUGUAUUGAGGAUUGAGGGUGGCUGGCCUUAUAAGUUAAUCAUCAGCGUGAAUGCUUUGUUUGUCUGAUCCUCACAAAUUAAUGCUUCGCUCGUCUGGGUGUGUGAUAAUGCCAUGUGUCUUGUGCAAUCAGAUUACAUUUCUGUUUGUUAUGGUAAUAUAAAAAAUAUUCGUGCUGUCAAAUUUUUUAUAGUGCGUGCCUUUCAUUUCUUUAGUUUGAUUGUUUCCCUUGUAUUCAAUAUGCUUCUAGUGGCUGAUCCUUCCAUUUUUGUUGUGGCAUCUUUAUUUUCACAGGUGUUGUGUGUUCUGGAAGAUGGAAGAGGAAGAAAACCUAUUUUUGUUGAACUAAAUUUUCUGUAUUCUGUUUUGUUGUACGUAUCAUUUGAUAGUUUUGUAUAGGAACAAGUGAUACUAUUUUGUAGGGCUUUAUGGCAUGUGAUGUAAACAUAUUUAGUGUUGAAAUAUGAAAUUAUUUGCAAAAUUUGUCGAUAAGGAGGAUCAUAUGUAUGAAUAUGUGAAUGGGCUGAAAAGAGUAUUGGA
rnacentral:lncRNA from 1 species